rnacentral:lncRNA from 10 species
GAGCGUGACCGUCAUGAGGAAGGCGCUCCCUCAUUGGCACGCUGGGGCUUUUCCCGCGUGCUCCCGGGGCUGAAGGACGUUCCCGGGGAAGCCGCUGCUGGCGCGUGGGGUCCCGGUGGCUGUGGGGGACGCGCCGGGAUCUCCGGGAUCCCGCAGCCCGCCGCCGCUGCCGGUGGGGAGCCGGACGCGGGGGGCCUCGGGGCUGAGGUCCGCAGGGGUGCCGCGCCCUGGAGUCCGACUGCCUAGGAGUCCGGGCGUCGCUGCCGGCCGUGGGGGAGGGGCGAGCCUCCCGCCAGGCCCCGCCCCCUCGGCGCCGCGUCCCCACGGCCCCGGCGCCGCCCGCCUGCGCCCGCCUCCUGUGCCCGCCCCCGGUAAUACCGGAAACAAAAGGAGAGGCUGCAAUCGCAAAUUGUUUAAAAAGAAGAAAAAGGAAAGAAAAGUUGAAUGUAAGAGCUCCAGCCCCUCAAUGUGAUCUUGUACGGUUUGCAGUAAGAACAUUUCAUUCUUCCGCAUUUUAUUUUUCCUUUUGCUACUGUUGGUGACAACUAGCAAAAUAAGUGAAAAAUCCUCGUUCAAGUGUUCUGGCAUUAAGAUUGACUGUCACACUGAAUUCUGUGCCAAUCCUAACAACAUGUGUUCUUUUUCUGGUCUUCACAAGUAAGAAUGUCUUAGGUUUUCCAGAAAUAAAGAUGUCCCAAAAGAAUGUUUUGUGUUACACACUCAUUCUUCAAGAAACUUUAAUUUUAUGAGCCUCAAAAAUUGCAAAAUUUUAACAACGGCGGGACAAUAUUUUAUCGAUUAGCAUUCUUAAUAGCACCUAUGUUGACGAUUUGUGUGGAGAAACGGAUUCUUAAAAGAAGUGCUGGUGGCAUUGUAAAUU